UGGAUGGAUCCCAGACGAAUUUUGACAACGAAAGGGCUUCACCAGCUGGAUCUCAGAUCCGAACUUCUACUGCAAGCGAUCUACUCUGAACUUCUACUACGAUCGAUCUACUCUGGAUCUCUACUGUAAGCAAAUUUCAUCUGAGCUUCUACUGUAAAUGAAUUCCUUCCGAACUUCUGUUACAGGCGGACUUCAGCCGAGCUUCUUCAAUAAGUGGUCCC
rnacentral:lncRNA from 1 species